AUUGAACGCUGGCGGCAGGCCUAACACAUGCAAGUCGAGCGAGCGGCGGACGGGUGAGUAAUGUAUGGGGACUGCACGAUAGAGGGGGAUAAAUACUGGAAACGGUGGCUAAUACCGCAUACUAUCGGAUAACCCAUAUGGGAUUAGCUAGUAGGGGGGGUAAAGGCUCACCUAGGCGACGAUCUCUAGCUGGUAUGAGAGGAUUAUCAGCCACACUGGGACGGUGACACGGCCCAGACUCCUACGGAGGCAGCAGUGGGGAAUGUUGCAAAAUGGGCGCAAGCCUGAUGCAGCCAUGCCGCGUGUAUGAAGGAGGCCUUAGGGUUGUAAAGUACUUUCAGCUGUGAGGCGUUACCCGCAGAAGAAGCACCGGCUAACUCCGUGCCAGCCGCCGCGGUAUUAC
rnacentral:rRNA from 1 species